ACCGAUUGAAAUCUAUGAAUGCAUUAUU
rnacentral:piRNA from 1 species